UUCCUCAGCAGCACGCCGAAAAAGUAUACCUGCCGCCCGCCCUAGCUAUGAAUGUGUUCAUGCUGCUGACCUUUCUCUGGCCCCACACAGAACUGCAUUCAGCACUGAGUCCCUGACAGCACAGUGAUGGAUGCAAGCAGGACUGCAGCCUUUACCUCCACCUUAGUAAAGAGAGAGAGGACUGGAGGUGAUUGUGGUUAUGGCUGCUACUCUUGGCUACUUACUCCAUUGUCCCAACCUGAUUCUCCUGCUGAACACAGUUACAAUCAUGCACAUAAGUCUACGCGGAAUGUGAUAGAAAGAUGUUUUGGGGUGCUGAAAUCUCGGUUUCGGUGUCUGGAUAAAUCUGCUGGGCUUUUGUUGUAUAGUCCCUCAAAGGUGACUAGGAUUGUGUUCUGCUGCUGUUUUCUCCAUAAUCUGUGUUUGAAACAACAUCUGCCACAUGAUGAUAAAGAAAACACUCAGCAAGCAGAGGAGUUAGAAACAUCUGGUGACAGUGUGAGUACAGAUGUAGGGAGGCAGACAGCUGAGGUGAUCGUGGCUCAUCACUUUGGGGACUAGCCAAAAUUGCCUGUGGUGGCUGGGGCAACACUGCGGAGAUGCGCCGCCUGGGUGGUGAAGAUGGAGCCGCAGACUCAGACUCCACACGACGGGUCUUACUGGGCCUCCUAGGUAAACUCACAGAGCCCUGUGAUGGCCGCCUUAGAGGAGGGCGGCUUGCAGAAGAAGAACCUAUGUGAAAAUAUAAACAUUAAUAUUUUGUGCUUCUAUGUGUUUGCAGAAUAUGUGACUACAGUAAAUUCUUACCUGCAUUCCCACCAUCUUCAUCAGUUGGCUGUGGCGUGUCUGUGGCGCUUCUCUGGCGUACUGUUGAAAAAUGUUAAAAAACAUUAUGACCAUACUUUAAAUACUCAUUGUUAUCUGCAAAACCUUAUUGUGAUGUAAACAUCUUGAACCUAAUG